GAUGAACGCUGGCGGUAUGCUUAACACAUGCAAGUCGAACGGACUCUUCGGAGAUAGUGGCGGACGGGUGAGUAACGCGUGAGAAUCUGUCUUCAGGUCGGGGACAACAGUUAGAAAUGACUGCUAAUACCGGAUAUGCCUUAUGGUGAAAGAUUUAUUGCCUGAAAGAGAGCUCGCGUCAGAUUAGCUAGUAGGUGGUGUAAGAGACUACCUAGGCGACGAUCUGUAGCUGGUCUGAGAGGACGAUCAGCCACACUGGAACUGAGACACGGUCCAGACUCCGUACGGGAGGCAGCAGGUGGGGUAAUUUUCCGCAAGUGGGCGAAAGCCUGACGGAGCAAUACCGCGUGAGGGACGAGGGUCUUUUGGGUACCGUAAACCUUCUUUUCUCGAAGGAAGUAUUUAGACGGUUAUUUGAGGAAUAAGCAUCGGCUAACUCUGUGCCAGCAGCCGCGGUAAU
rnacentral:rRNA from 1 species